AGCUGCUUCUCAGUGAAACGCUGAUAAAAAUAUUAUUGAAGGGUUAAUAGAAGAGCGAUGUUAUGACUUCCUGAAGGUGGAGUUUCAGAAAGAGCAGGAGUUUUUAAAGAGACAGAGACCCAAUUUCAAAGCAUUAAUCUUGAAGAAAUAUUUUA